GACAGAGGGUGCGAACGUUGCUCGGAAUCACUGGGCGUAAAGCGCGUGUAGGCUGAUGAUCAAGUCAGGUGUGAAAUCCCUGGGCUCAACCCAGGAACUGCAUCUGAAACUGGUCGUCUUGAGUACUGGAGAGGGAAGCGGAAUUCCUGGUGUAGAGGUGAAAUUCGUAGAUAUCAGGAGGAACACCGGUGGCGAAGGCGGCUUCCUGGGACAGUUACUGACGCUGAGACGCGAAAGCGUGGGGAGCAAACAGG
rnacentral:rRNA from 1 species